GUCCUUGUAGCUCAGUAGGAUAGAGCACCAACCUCCUAAGUUGGGUGUCGGACGUUCGAAUCGUCUCAGGGACG
rnacentral:tRNA from 1 species